GAUGAAGAACGCAACGAAAUGCGAUAAGUAAUGUGAAUUGCAGAAUUCAGUGAAUCAUCGAAUCUUUGAACGCAUCUUGCGCUCCUUGGUAUUCCUUGGAGCAUGCCUGUUUGAGUAUCAUGAGCAAAUCUCAAAGUCAAUUCCUUUUGUUAAUUCAAUUGGUUUUGCUUUGGACUUGGAGGUCUUGCAGAUUUUCACAGUCUGCUCCUCUUAAAUGCAUUAGCUGGAUCUCAGUAAUUAUGCUUGGUUCCACUCGGCGUGAUAAGUAUCACUCGCUGAGGACACUGUUAAAAAGGUGGCCAGGAAAAUACUGAUUGAACCGCUUCUAACGGUCUAUUAAGUUAGACAAUUACCCUUAAGUUUGAUCUCAAAUCAGGUAGGACUACCCGCUGAACUUAAGCAUAUCAAUAAGCGGAGGA
rnacentral:misc_RNA from 1 species